rnacentral:rRNA from 1 species
UACAGAGGUGGCAAGCGUUGUUCGGAAUUACUGGGCGUAAAGGGCGCGUAGGCGGUUCGUUAAGUCCUGUGUGAAAUCCCCCGGCUCAACUGGGGAACUGCACAGGAAACUAGCGGGCUUGAGUUCGGGAGAGGGAAGCGGAAUUCCGGGUGUAGCGGUGAAAUGCGUAGAUAUCCGGAGGAACACCGGUGGCGAAGGCAGCUGACUACAGGAACAUUGACACUGAGGCACGAAAGCGUGGGGAUCAAACAGG